rnacentral:rRNA from 1 species
CCUACGGGAGGCAGCAGUGGGGAAUAUUGCACAAUGGGGGAAACCCUGAUGCAGCGACGCCGCGUGAGUGAAGCAGUAUUUCGGUAUGUAAAGCUCUAUCAGUAGGGAAGAAAAGGACGGUACCUGACUAAGAAGAACCGGCUAAUUACGUGCCAGCAGCCGCGGGAAUACGUAGGGGGGAAGCGUUAUCAGGAUUUACUGGGUGUAAAGGGAGCGUAGCAGGCCAGACAAGGCAGAAGUGAAAGCCCAGGGCUCAACCCUGGGACUGCUUUUGAAACUGCCGGGCUGGAGUGCAGGAGAGGUAAGCGGAAUUCCUAGUGUAGCGGUGAAAUGCGUAGAUAUUAGGAGGAACACCAGUGGCGAAGGCGGCUUACUGGACUGUAACUGACGUUGAGGCUCGAAAGCGUGGGGAGCAAACAGGAUUAGAUACCCUGGUAGUC